rnacentral:rRNA from 1 species
AUUGAACGCUGGCGGCAUGCCUUACACAUGCAAGUCGAACGGCAGCGCGGGAGCAAUCCUGGCGGCGAGUGGCGAACGGGUGAGUAAUAUAUCGGAACGUGCCCAGUAGUGGGGGAUAGCCCGGCGAAAGCCGGAUUAAUACCGCAUACGACCUACGGGUGAAAGGGGGGGAUCGCAAGACCUCUCGCUAUUGGAGCGGCCGAUAUCAGAUUAGGUAGUUGGUGGGGUAAAGGCCUACCAAGCCUGCGAUCUGUAGUUGGUCUGAGAGGACGACCAGCCACACUGGGACUGAGACACGGCCCAGACUCCUACGGGAGGCAGCAGUGGGGAAUUUUGGACAAUGGGGGCAACCCUGAUCCAGCAAUGCCGCGUGCAGGAAGAAGGCCUUCGGGUUGUAAACUGCUUUUGUCAGGGAAGAAAUCUUCUGGGCUAAUACCUCGGGAGGAUGGCGGUACCUGAAGAAUAAGCACCGGCUAACUACGUGCCAGCCGCCGCAGUAAAAC